CAGGUCAGUGGCUAUCUCGUCCGCCUGAAAAGCGGAAGGUUGCCGGUUCGAUCCCGGCCCUGGCCA
rnacentral:tRNA from 1 species